rnacentral:tRNA from 1 species
CGGGGCGUAGCUCAGCCUGGUAGAGCACAGCGUUUGGGACGCUGGGGCCGGAGGUUCGAAUCCUCUCGCCCCGACCA